rnacentral:rRNA from 1 species
UACGUAGGGGGCUAGCGUUGUCCGGAAUCAUUGGGCGUAAAGAGCGUGUAGGCGGUCCGGUAAGUCCGCUGUGAAAGUCGGGGGCUCAACCCUCGAAUGCCGGUGGAUACUGUCGGGCUAGAGUGCGGAAGAGGCGAGUGGAAUUCCUGGUGUAGCGGUGAAAUGCGUAGAUAUCAGGAGGAACACCAGCGGCGAAGGCGGCGCUCUGGGCCGGAACUGACGCUGAGGAGCGAAAGCGUGGGGAGCAAACAGG